AGAGUUUGAUCAUGGCUCAGGAUGAAUGCUGGCGGCGUGCCUAAUACAUGCAAGUCGAGCGGUAAGGCCCUUCGGGGUACACGAGCGGCGGACGGCUGAGUAACGCGUGGGAACAUGCCCCAAAGUGAGGGAUAACGCACCGAAAGGUGUGCUAAUACCGCAUAUGGUCUUCGGAUUAAAGGAUUUUAUCCGCUUUGGGAGUGGCCCGCGUACGAUUAGAUUGUUGGUGAGGUAACGGCUCACCAAGUCGACGAUCGUUAACUGGUCUGAGAGGAUGAUCAGUCAGACUGGAACUGAGACACGGUCCAGACUCCUACGGGAGGCAGCAGUAAGGAAUCUUCCACAAUGGGCGAAAGCCUGAUGGAGCAACGCCGCGUGCAGGAUGAAGGCCCUCGGGUCGUAAACUGCUUUUAUGAGUGAAGAAUAUGACGGUAACUCAUGAAUAAGCACCGGCUAACUACGUG
rnacentral:rRNA from 1 species